rnacentral:rRNA from 1 species
AUCGAACGCUAGCGGGAUGCUUUACACAUGCAAGUCGAACGAGUGGCGGACGGGUGAGUAAUAUAUCGGAACGUGCCCAGUAUCGGGGGAUAACUACUCGAAAGCGUGGCUAAUACCGCAUACUAUUGUAGCGGCCGAUAUCGGAUUAGCUAGCUGGUGGGGUAAAGGAUCACCAAGGCAACGAUCCGUAGCUGGUUUGAGAGGACGACCAGCCACACUGGGACGGAGACACGGCCCAGACUCCUACGGGAGGCAGCAGUGGGGAAUUUUGGGCAAUGGAGGAAACCCUGAUCCAGCAAUCCCGCGUGUAUGAGAAGGCCUUCGGGUUGUAAAGUACUUUUGGCAGAGAAGCGGUAUCUGAAGAAUAAGCACCGGCUAACUACGUGCCAGCAGCCGCGGUAAUUC